GGUAAGCAAGUGAUGCAAAACCUGCUCCAAUGAAGAAACAAAAACAUCUUGGGAUGAACUGAGGGUCCUGUGUGUUAUCCUAAUGUCCCAUUUGGAGCCUUCCUUCUUCACAAAGAGUUCAACCAGGCAUGCUAGCCAAGUGCCAAUUACCAGCCAGGCUAUGAGGAUAUGAAAAUAAAAGAGUGGAAAGCUGGUUGAAGAUAAAAGACUUUUUAACGAACUGAGGGGAUUAACUGGUUAUCAGUGCAGGAGUUGGAUUCCCUUUGGCUCCGGGAAAGGUGUGGCCAGAGGCUCUGAGACCCUCGCUGGGGAUUUGGAGUCAUGGGGUCUCCUGUUUACUCAACAUACAGGAUUGGUCAUGGUGCUAAUCUCACACCAAUGGGAUCAUAGAAACAUUUUUCUUACUGACCUGCUCACAAGAUUUCACCUUCUUCACCAUCAUAUUGAGGUCUUACAUUGAAAAGAGUCAUUGUUCGGACCUUAAUAAAUAUACUCUAAAAAGAUGGUUAUUUUAAGGU
ensembl:lncRNA